UAUUGAUCUGUCUGCACAAGCCA
rnacentral:piRNA from 1 species